rnacentral:rRNA from 1 species
CCUACGGGUGGCAGCAGUGGGGAAUAUUGCGCAAUGGGCGAAAGCCUGACGCAGCGACGCCGCGUGAGGGAUGAAGGUCUUCGGAUCGUAAACCUCUGUCAGCAGGGAAGAACGGUCACUGUGCUAAUCAUCAGUGAAUUGACGUUACCUGCAAAGGAAGCACCGGCUAACUCCGUGCCAGCAGCCGCGGUAAUACGGAGGGUGCGAGCGUUAAUCGGAAUUACUGGGCGUAAAGCGCUCGUAGGCGGUAUGUCAAGUCAAGGGUGAAAUCCCCGCGCUCAACGUGGGAACUGCCUUUGAUACUGGCAAACUGGAGUGUGUGAGAGGAUAGUGGAAUUCCAGGUGUAGGAGUGAAAUCCGUAGAUAUCUGGAGGAACAUCAGUGGCGAAGGCGACUAUCUGGAACAUAACUGACGCUGAGGAGCGAAAGCGUGGGUAGCAAACAGGAUUAGAUACCCGAGUAGUC